UACGUAGGGUGCAAGCGUUAAUCGGAAUUACUGGGCGUAAAGCGUGCGCAGGCGGUUUUGCAAGACCGAUGUGAAAUCCCCGGGCUUAACCUGGGAAUGGCAUUUGUGACUGCACGGCUAGAGUGUGUCAGAGGGGGGUAGAAUUCCACGUGUAGCAGUGAAAUGCGUAGAGAUGUGGAGGAAUACCGAUGGCGAAGGCAGCCCCCUGGGAUAACACUGACGCUCAUGCACGAAAGCGUGGGGAGCAAACAGG
rnacentral:rRNA from 1 species